UUUUUUUUUUUGGUUUUAGGUUUGAAAUUCAUGAAUAUAUUUUAUAGUGUACUAUGCUUAUGGAAAUAGAGGAUAUAUAGACCACAACUAGUUUGGAAUUGAGGCGUAAUAGGUCAUUGAUUGAUAUAAUUAAUUGUACAUAUGGGAUAUAUAAGACUCAUGUAGUGAACUCCAACUAGUUUGAGGUUGAGGUAGAGUUGCUCGUUAAUUGAUAUAAUUGUCUGUGCUAUAAUAUAGAAGAUUUACAAGUAAUUUGAGGUUGUGGUGUAGUUGAUCAUUAAUCAAUAUAAUUUAAUGCAUUUAUGGUAGGGUUUGUGGAGUGGUUGAUUGUUGAUUCAUAAAUCUGUGCUUAUAGAUAUAGAAAACUUAUAGUCGAACCCAAAUAGUUUGGGAAUGAGGUAUAGUCUUUUAUCUUCUUUUUUUUUUUGGGAUAAGUAGGAUUGAUGUGUAGUUUUAUGGUUAUUGACUGUGCUUAUGGAUGUAUUGAUUCAUACAACUGACCGUAAAUAGUUUGUAUUGAUGCAUAGUUGAUCUUUGAUUGACAUGACAUAGUUGACUCUGCUUAUUUGAUGUGGAUCUGAAUUGAUUUGUAAUCAAAUCUUUAACAUUUUGCAUGUGAUUGUGAGUCUUAAUAGUUCUUUUAGAGGUGGAUCUAGAAUUUGAAGUUAGUGACUCGGAUAAAUUGAAGUUUAUUAGGUGGAGACAUUUUUGAAACCUUUAGCAAAGAUGUACUGUACGAGCCAUUUGGUUAAACCUAAUGUUAAGUGCUUUACUGGACCUUUUUCCUAUAUAAGAAUCUCGACACAUCUUAUAAGGGAAAAUACAUCUUUAUUUUGGCGAGACAGAAGUUUUUCUACUACCUAUACAGCUAUACUAAAACUUUGCCUUGAAAGAGACUGAUGAUGAAUGCAAACCAUAAGUGAUAGACUUGCAGCUAUAGACUUAUCUUGAUAGUUUAGAUGAGUAACAUGGUAUUAAAGUAUGCCAAUUUUAUGUUAUAUCUCUAUUUUCAUUCCUGGCUAAUUUUUUUUUUUGAAUACUUGGUCAAUGUUAGACCUACUAUUUGAUCUAAUAUCAUGAUGAUUUUGAAGAUAUGAUCAAGCAAGAUGGUACGGGAUUUUACUAAUUCAUCGAAAAAUACUGAUUUUUGAGUAACCUACUAUUUGAUCUAAUAUCAUGAUGAUUUUGAAGAUAUGAUCAAGCAAGAUGGUACGGGAUUUUACUAAUUCAUCGAAAAAUACUGAUUUUUGAGUAGUUUAAUGAUAAAUAACUUGUGAGGCUAAGAUUUAUACCAUGACCACCUGCCAUAUCUUGUUAAUUUCACUACACUGUGUAUAUUCAGGAUUUUUGAUUCACCUAAUGAUGAUUCAAGCAAUUCAAACACGACUUCUGAGUUCAAAACCAAACCUGACGGUUUAAUGAUAAAUAACUUGUGAGGCUAAGAUUUAUACCAUGACCACCUGCCAUAUCUUGUUAAUUUCACUACACUGUGUAUAUUCAGGAUUUUUGAUUCACCUAAUGAUGAUUCAAGCAAAUCAAACACGACUUCUGAGUUCAAAACCAAACCUGACGGUUUAAUGAUAAAUAACUUGUGAGACUAAGAUUUAUUCCAUGACCACCUGCCAUAUCUUGUUAAUUUACUACACUGUGUAUAUUCAGGAUUUUUGAUUCACCUAAUGAUGAUUCAAGCAAUUCAAACACGACUUUUGAGUUCAAAAACAAACCUGAUGGCUGGGAAACCACUUCAAAAACACAAGAUGGGAAUAUAUGGGAGAUGUCGCAAAGAGAAGAAGAUAUCUUAGUCCAAGAAUUUGAACGCCGAAUUGCAUUCAACAAAUUCCAGGUUUGUGGAGAAAAUCCGAUUUUAUAAAUUCAAGCUUGGUUUUCGGACGAUUUUCUUCUUCUUUGUACUUGGAUUUACUGCACUCGAACCGGGUUUUUUUCAAAAACAGCCUCUCUACCUCUAUGAGGUAGUGGUUAGGACCGCACUUGUGGGAUUCCACUGGGUAUGCUGUUGUUGUUGUUGUUGUUAAGCUUGGUUUCUGGACGAACUUCUUGUUAGAUCUGGUGAAUCAGUAAUCUUUGGUUAGAAAUAUGUCUUUUUCCCACAAGCAUACUAGUUUGCUUAGAUCUUUCUUUUUUUCUUUCCCUUUUAUAUGUUUCCCUCGAUAAGAAAGGUAUCAAAAUCCUUUUAACUACACAGACCAAGUUAGGCAAGAUUGUGCUACUUAUUAACAAAAACAGCUAACUCAUCCAAACAUUACAAGAGUUGAACUAGAAGUGUAUUUUUCUGUUGAGCAUCCAGGACUUGUCUUUGAUGAAGACACUGAACCUGAAGGACUGAUGAAAUUUCAGUCAUUUUUGUUUUUGGACAAGUCACUUUCAGUCUUUCACAACAGUUUAUGAAAUGAAAAAGAAGAAUAAAAACCAAGCAAGAUAAUAAGCUUACCAUCUCCUCUACUAGGAUCUCCAUUAGUUCACGGGGCAAGGAAUAAAUUAUUGUUCUAUUAAAAUCUUCUAUUUUAUGAAAUGUCGGUGGGCUACCAGAAUGUUCUGCCUAAUAAUUUCCCAGCAGCCUUUGAUGUAGGCAAAAUGAAAACUGUCUGAUCUUUGAAGCCUCUUCCUCUUACAUUGUAGAGCCAAUACUGAAUAUUCCUCUGAGAUUGGCUUUUCUAGUCACUCAAGAUUUUUCUUGCGAAGGCAUUGGGAUACCUUUACGUUGUCGCAUCUCAAUGGAUCUCUCUGCAUAGGUUUCCAUAAGUUGCACUACCACAUUCCUCGGUCUUCCUUUAACUACUACUUCCCUCUUAUAUGGAUGUCACCAAUGUGGUAUUUCCUCCGAGCAGUGUAUAUUUAGGGGGAAGAACUUUUGUUCUAGCCUCCUUCCAUUACUAGAGAAGUGAAGGCAGGUGCCCUCAACAAAUCUUUUUGACCAAAUAUAGCCCUCUGAACUCCCUUCCUAUUCAUCUUCUUGGAGGUCCACAUCUUUGGUGGUAAUCACUCUCUUUGGAGCUAGCCAUUUCUGAUAGCUAGUCUACGCUCUACUUUUGAUCCUAGCUUUACAUUGUUCACUGAGUAUGUUUACCUUGCCUUGUAAUCCUAGUAUAUUAUUGAUCAAUAAAAUUGGUGGUUGGUGGAUACCUUGGUCAGUAGCAUGAUGGCUUGGCACCUUCUUUUUUCUCGAAUCUUCACUAUUCCCACGAGGUAGUGGUAAGGUCUGCCUACAUUCUACCUCUCCCCAGACCUCACUUGUGGAUAUCACUGGGCAUGUUGUUGUUGUUGCUUCACUCUCGAACAAUACAAGCUUGAAGAGAUACUUCAUUCUCCAAUUUCACGUCCUCAAAGCCCAGUUCCAUCACAUCCUUAUCAGUUGAACAAUUCCAAGAUUUUAUGGUACUUGAAUGGUGACUUGUGAGUUAUUCGUAGACAGGAAUUAUAUCUACAUGUUUCUCUUAUGUUUGAUAGACCUCAUUUUGAAUUAUCUUCUGCUUAUCACCCAAAGGGUGGUGGUCAAUGAAGUGGAUUGACAACCAUGAGGUCUCCGGUUAAAAUCCUAGUAGAGAAAAUUUUAGGGUGAUUUCUUCUCAUCCAUCCAAGCCUUGGUGGAGAGAGUUAUCUGGUACAUGUACUGGUGGGAGGUAGCAGAUGCCCCUUAGAAUUUGUCGAGGAGCUCGCAAGCUAGCACUACGGUUGUAAAAAGAAUAAAUCUUUUGGCUAUACUGGACAGUUUUCUGAAGAAAAAUUGUAUCUUUAAUGUGUUCAUUUUAACAUGUACUAACUAUUCCUCUGUGAUUAUGUUCGCUAAUGGAUAAUAGCAAAUCAGUAAAAGAAUAUUAGUCUGAUUUAUAAGGCUCUGACAUUGGAUAGUGAAACAUUGUGAUGUAUUGUUUGCUUUUGUUUCUAAUGCUGCAUAAAUGUUGAUUAUGCAGAUUGCCAGUUUUAUUAAAACCCAUUUAUUUAGUCGGAGGAGGCCUAUAGAUGGUUGGAAGUAUAUGAUAGAGGAGAUCGGUCCAAAUGCCAGAAAAGGGAAGGGCAGUGUUUCAAGGUUACCUAGUAUAGCAGAUGCAUCAACUCGACCUUUCAGGGAGGAAGAUACAUCGUCCCACACUACUUUCCCCUCUAAUCGGGGGAGGACUGAAAGGAGGUAGCAUUUUGUAAAUUCUUUUUCUUAGAACAGAGUGACAUUGCCAAAUCUGGGUAUGCAUGUUGUAAAAUUAGUAUUGAACUUGUAAGUUAUAUUGAAUUAACAGAAUUUUCCACAGGCCCUAUUGGUGAAUAGAAAAUUAUUUUCUUUUCCAUCUAGAUAAGUUUUAUUGUAUUUACAUCACUAUCUGAAUUGGCAAUAAGGCCAUAUGCCUUUUUAGGUUUGGGAUAAUCACAGUGUCCAUUAUUCUGGCAAUCGGAGAACUUGAGCAUGUUAGAUUAUCAUGCCCCAAAACAGGGUGAGACGUUAUUUAUGCAGCCUUACUUACCUUGCGAAAGUAGAGGUUGUCUAGAUUAUAUAUAUAAAAAAUUAUAAUACUUUUUAACUUACAUAUCAAACAAGUAAAAAACUAUUUUCCAAAGAAAAACAUAUUUUUUCAUAGUGGACACACCUAGAGCAUCAUAAUUGUAUAGCACUAAAAAUACAAAAAGUAUUCACUUUACUCUACACAAAUAUAAGUAACUCUUAGCAUAAUCUCUACUUUUGAUCACACCAUUAAACUUGCAACCUUUUACACCUCCCUAACAUCCACCUUAAUCUGAAAUGAUUAAUGUUAUCUUAUUACUAAUAAUUUUUUUGUAUACCUCUAUCACUAAAUAAAAGCAUAAAAAUUCAUAUUGUACACACUUAAUGUAUACUUGGAAAAAAGGCGAAAACUCUUUUGUUCUCUAUAUACUCUUGUCUACAAUACGAUUGUUUUAUAUUGCUCUAUUUUAUUUUAUUACAUAAAAGCUUAUGAUUUAUAUAAAUGGAAAACAUUGUCCGUCAUAUAAUUGACCAACUAUUUGAAGCGUAGUUACACAACGAAAAAUAUACACAAAACACUCAAGCAAACGCAAACCAUCAUUAGUGGAGAAAUACGAUUAACCACUUCGACCGACCUUCUAACAAGUAUCACAAGUAUAGUAAAUUUUGCACUCAUUUAUAGAACAUUGAGAAUGGUAUUGAAGUUUUUGAUUGUGUGGCAAAGAACCAACAGAUCCAUAGGAGGAAAAAACUUGCUGCUAGCAUUAAGUUUCAAAACUUGAGGCUCAAAGGAAAAUCAACGAAGACAACAUUCCCGUAAAGGGAUAGAAGUAUGGACAUCAUUCCUAGAAGUAACAAUUAAAAUGGAAGCAUCAAGCUCAUAUUCCGGUAAAAGCUUUUUUCCCGCCACCACCAGAACCAGCUGGAAUCACCUUUAAGACAUUGAACCUCACGGUUUUGGAUAAAGGCCUGUAAAGCAUAAAAUGUUAUCACCUACAGUAACAACAAAUAAUGAAAAAAAACUACAGAAAAAUCAAAAUAAGAUGGUCCUAACCUGCACUGUCCAAUAGUAACAUGAUCUCCCUCUUUCACACGGAAGCAUGGUGAUAUGUGAGCUGGGAUAUUUGAGUGCCUCUUCUCGUAUCUGAAAUAACUUGUGUUAAAACUAAAAAAAGAAGAAGUGAAGCAGCCAAAAAUAGUAUAAGUGACAAGCCUUGCCUCUGAUACUUCUUGACAUAAUGUAGGUAAUUGCGACGAACGAUGAUGGUUCUGUUCAUCUUAGCACUGUGGCAUGUACCAGCAAGGAUACGACCUCGGAUAGAAACAUUUCCAGUGAAUGGGCAUUUCUUGUCAAUAUAUGUACCUAAAUUUAAAUAUGCCAAACUCAAGGUUAGACCACAGAACAAGGUGAAAUCAAGGAAAUCCAUAAAAUAAUCAAAUGAUAUCUGGCGCAGGAGAUAUAAAAGAUGACUUGAAAUCUUGUUCUUAAAGUCAGUCUUAACUAUCUAACGUCUAGAAAACAUCAUUGCUAACAAGCAACAUGUUCCACAUAAAGGUCACACAAAUAGCAAUUUAAGAAGCAUCUUUUAUUUACUAUUACUUAAAUGUAAGUAAAUGCAGUCUCUUGGAAUGCCCACACAAGAAAUUUACCGCGUGCUAUUGAAGUAGGAAACAAAAAGGAAUAAAUAAGCUCAAAUCCAAUCCACUGCUGUUUUCCUCCGAAAUUAUACCAUUUUGAUUCAGUACUUUUUCGAUAUAUUAAGGUCAGCCACUUCACAACCAUAUAAUAUUGAGACCCAGCUACACCAAAUGACAGUAAUUGAAGGGUUUUAUCCACAGUAUCAUAUCCUAUGUAAGCUCUACAAAUGUAAACAAAUGCUAGUGAAGAACUUUGGCUUAAUAAAAAAUUCUGUAGAAGAUUUAAAAGAAAAUCAAGAGAAAGCCACAUAACUGGUCAAAGCAAGACAGUACCUUAACACAGAUGGAUAACUUUCACCCCACGUCAUCUUAAUAACCCGAGUCCCCAGCUAAUAAGAAGUUCUACAACAAGUAUAUCGUGUUUCCCUUAUGUACUCAAAUUGCAUUAAACCAUAUUUCAUGCAAUUCAGACGCAUGGCAAAUAACUUCAUUAUAGAAAGAAACAUCUACCAAAUUGAAACUACAAUGGAAACUUAAUAGAAAGAUUUACCUAGUGUCAACCACAUUGAAAAAAACUUUAACUUUUUUUUGAGAUAAGGGUAACUAUGAAAAAAGCUUUAACUUCUUACUAUGAAGAUUUACCAAAUGCCAACUAAGUUGCAGAAGUAAGUUUUUGGCCAUUUACAGCAAGGAGACCCAUUGCUUAAGGCGUGAACAAUAUGUACAUCGGCCUUAAUCCUAAACUAGUUGGCACUCAAUACACAAUAUAGAAAGAAAAGAAGCUACUUUGCAUAGAUCAAAAGUGGAAAUUGAAAACUAGUCUUAUAAACUUUGUGUUCGGCUUCACUCAGAUCAUAAUAACAUAUACAACAAAACUAUAUUCACUAUGCUAAUAUCUAAAAUAUAAAUCAACAAUGCAGAAAGAAAUGAAAUACAGUAAUUGUUUAAUUAGAGGAAACUAGUUGGCACUCAAUACAUCAAGACAGCAUGGAAAGAAAAGAAGCUAAUUUGCAUAGAUCAAAGGUGGAAAUCGAAAACUAGUCUUAUAUAAUUUUACGAGAACAAAUGAAAUAGAAUUAAACAAAAUGAAUAUGUACCUUCAGUAGCCUCACGAGGAGUCUUGAAUCCUAAACCAAUACUCUUAAAGUAUCGAUUGCCUCCCUUUCCUGGCCUCUUUCCCUUCCCCGUCUUCUUAGAGCUGCCGAGAUCAAAUAAAAAAAAAACAAAACGCAAAUCUUAGGCUCAAAUUCCUUCAACUUAACAGUAAAUGCAUAUAGCAUUUGUCAGAUGCUCACCUUAGAAAAACACCUGGCUGCUUCAAAAACGCCUUCUCUGUCUGCAGCACAAAGUAAAUUCAUUAGAUUUUCUCUAUAAUAGAUAAUAAUGUACAUGGAAGAUGAGAUAGAGAUAGAUAGACGGACCUGCUCCGCCAUGACUGAGGAUUACCAAGACGCAAAACUCAACGAGGAUAGCUUAUCGGUAAUAAAAACCCUAGUUUACAGGCUGCAGCAAAGAAUGAAGACUUAGAGAAGCUUAUGUCUUCUAUUGGGUUAGAUACUGCGGACUGGACUUGCAAAUUGGGCCAACUUACGGAUGGGCUUAAAAUCCAACUAAAUAUAUCUAAAGUUAAACAUGACUCAAGUUCAGAUAAAAAUGUCCAAAGUUUAAAUAAAAUAAUUUAAUUUUUCACUCAUAUAAAAUUUUAAACAUAGAUGUUCCAAAACUCAAUGACAUAGCUUAAAUAGUGGUUCAAAAAAUAGCUAUGUGUGCAUUUCAAGACACUAAAAUUGAGGGGUGAUAAUGUUCACACUUUGGUAUGACAUGGUUAGUUCUAUAGUAUAAUUAUGGUCGAACCUUUCUAUUUUAGCCAUUUGAUCAUGUUUUGAUUUUUUAUCACAAAUAUAAUAGAGCAAAUCUAUUUACAUGAAAGAUGGAAAUAGGAGAGUUACACAGUGAGGAAUCAAAAUAAGCAUCGAAUUAUGCUUCCGACUGACCAACCAUUUCUUGAUGCUGGUUAUUUAUAAAAAAAAUUGUUGGUUGUAUUCAAAAUGCACUGUUCAUGCCAUUUGCAAAAUUUACACAAUGAUGUGUAGUAAGUUGUAAAUUGUUAGCAUCCUACCUUUUGCAGACAGAAUUGCCUCAAAAAUAAAUUAGAAAUUACAUUUCAGUUUGCAUUAUAUAAAUAAUGUUAAGUUGGUUUAGUCUUAAAUUGUCUUUUUUUAGUUAAAAUCAGGGAUAAGGGUUUGAAAAAUAUCCCAACUUUGGUCGGAUUUGCUGUUGCGAUACUAAACUUUCAUAAGGACUUAUUACCUCCCUAGACUAUUUAAUACCGUAUUUUAAACAUAUAUAUUUGUCCAUGUGGACAUAAAAAAUAAUGAAAAAUUAUAAAUAAUAAUGUGUUCACAUGAGCACAUAUAUACCUUUAAAAUACACUAUUAAAUAGUUCAGGGGGUAAAAAAUACGGUAUUAAAUAGUCUAGGGAGGUAAUAAGUCCUUAUGAAAGUUUAGUAUCGCAACAGCAAAUCCGACCAAAGUUGGGGUAUUUUUCAAACCCUUAUCCCUUAAAAUCAAAUCAAACUUAAGCAUAGUUGUUUUUUUACCCACAAUAUCAAAGCAAGUCAAACCAAAUCACUAGUCAGAUUUUUUUUUUACAAUUUGUGAUUUGGUUCGACUUUGUACUCCUAAUCAAAAGUUUAUAGAUCUGUAAUUUUUUAUGCACGACAUAAUUGUAGUCAAACAUCUCUAUAACAGUCUCUCAAUAUAGGUUUGCUGAAUUAGCUUCAAUUUGUAGAUUAAUUCGUUAGCAUGAUUUGUUAUUUGCAUACAAAAAAAAACAACAGAAAUAUAGCUUCUACUAUGUUUUCUUACUGAAAGAAUAGAGAUGAAUCAUUGUGCUUGUGGUGUUGAUACACAAUGUAAUAUUUGAUUCCAUAAAUUAACUAUGUGAACGAAGAAAUGUCUCUUCUGAUUGCAGCCUUGGCUAAGCCUCGUCUCUCUCUUGCUUUGGCAAUUACCAUCCAUAACAAUAACGUCCCAACUGUAAUUCCAUAAGCUACAAAGAAUGGAGUGUCCACAAAUACUUAACCCUACCAUUAGAGGUAGAGAUAUCAUUUCCAAAAACGAUACAUCGCAUUCCUCGACUAAAUUUAACUUGGUAUGUUCUGUUCGUAUUCAAAUGCUUGAUAGCUUCUUGUUUCAGUGGUACUCAGGAUAACCCAAGUUAAAAUCUUGAUUUUAUCCAGUUAGUAAGACUAGAAUACCGCUGCUAUUUCAAGAAAACAAACUUGCUAGCAUAUUAAGUUUCAAAAUUUGAAGAUAACUCAGUAGAAGCAGAAAAGUUUUGACAUCAUAUUCCUACAAAAAAAACAAAUUUUGAAAUGGAGGAAUGAAGAUUACAUCCCGGUAAAAGCUUUUUUCCCUCCACCACCAGAACCAGCUGGAAUCACCUUUAAGACAUUGAACCUCACGGUUUUGGAUAAAGGCCUG
rnacentral:lncRNA from 1 species